rnacentral:lncRNA from 1 species
AAGUAAGUCAGGUGAUGAACAGCAGUUUGCUGAGUUAGGCCUUUUGCCAUGUACCGUCUGAUAUGACCGAGUGACAGCAAGUACCACAUGAAUGCAGAGGGGAAGAGGAUAAAUGGCAUAAAACUGGCCAACAUCAGAGGAUGUUCUACAUCAAGACACAUUCCUGGAUGAGUUAUACUGCCUGAGAAGAGUAAAAAUCUCAUGAAAAGACGGAAGGAUCUAGAGACAAUGUUAAGAAAGCAGAGCGCAGUGCUGACCAACCAUUCCAUCAAGAACCAGUGCCUGGGAUUCUUGGGACACAGCACAGCCAACGUUUGCCAUGAAUGAGGGAGCAAACCACUCUGGAGCAGGUAAUGACACCUGGUUUGGAUGACAUAAUGCUUUUCAUCCAAGUGAUCCGAAGCAUUUUGGAAGCUAAGUACAAGCAUUAGCUCACCAGGUCAACAUUAACAAGUCAUUUAAGGCUGUAAAGUUAUAUUGUCAAUAGAUCCUGACAGAGGGGGUUAGAGAAUUACUGAAACUGCCCACAUCCAAUGAAAUGGGAUGCAGUUAGCAGAAAAAUUAUUGAGAAAUAUGUGACCAGAAUCUGAACCUAAACAGCUAUAAUUUUGAAGAAGAAUUCAAAAAAUUACAUACCCUCUGCUCUCCCAAAGAUGAAAUAUUACAAUGCUGGACAAGAACUUCAAAUGAUAAAUCCAUGAUAGCA